UACGAAGGGGGCUAGCGUUGCUCGGAAUUACUGGGCGUAAAGCGCACGUAGGCGGCUUCUUAAGUCGGUGGUGAAAUCCUGGAGCUCAACUCCAGAACUGCCUUCGAUACUGGGAAGCUCGAGUCCGGGAGAGGUGAGUGGAACUGCGAGUGUAGAGGUGAAAUUCGUAGAUAUUCGCAAGAACACCAGUUGCGAAGGCGGCUCACUGGCCCGGUACUGACGCUGAGGUGCGAAAGCGUGGGGAGCAAACAGG
rnacentral:rRNA from 1 species